UACGGAGGAUGCGAGCGUUAUCCGGAAUGACUGGGCGUAAAGGGUGCGUAGGUGGUCUGGCAAGUUGGCAGCGUAAUCCCGGGGCUCAACUCCGGUGCUACUGCCAAAACUGUCGGACUUGAGUGCAGGAGGGGUGAAUGGAAUUCCUAGUGUAGCGGUGGAAUGCGUAGAUAUUAGGAAGAACACCAGCGGCGAAGGCGAUUCACUGGACUGUAACUGACACUGAGGCACGAAAGCGUGGGGAGCAAACAGG
rnacentral:rRNA from 1 species